rnacentral:lncRNA from 1 species
GUCCUUAACCUCCUUAGAGACACGGACACUUCGGAAAGCGUUCUGCGGACAGUUAUCAAGAUGAUGAAUUGCAGUGAACACCAAGACACAAAAGGUUAGCUUAAUUUGCUCUUCUUUGUCAAGAUUUCUAAUGCUGAGCUGAGCUAGUUGAUUUGUAUUCCUUUCCUUCUAAUGCAUAUAUUUAGGAGUACUUAAAGUAAAGAAGCAGGCGAUCAGAGAAGGGCUGGAGAGGAAGAGGCAAUAUGAUGAUGGAAGCAGAGAUUGGAGUUUUGUGCUUUGAAGAUAGAGAAAGUGUCCUUAGCCAAAGGAUACAGGCAGCCACUACCAGCUGGAAAGCCAAGGAGAUGGAGUCUGCCCUAGAGUCUCCUGAAGAAACCAGCCCUGCUGACACCUCGGCUUUGACACAGUGGAACAGAUUUC